CCCACCCUCAGGCUCCGCCCCUGCCUCCGGGGCUAGACGCAGGAGGCGGGACUUCCGGCCGCCCGGCUCCCGCAAGAUGGCGGCCGCAGCGGCUGAGCCCCAUGGAUCUGCAUUAUGCAUUUAAUGCUAACUAAUGACAUUUCAGAGCCUGGUUCUGAAAAUACAGAACUUUAAAUUAAAAUAAGAAGCCUAAUAAAGAAUGAAAAAGAUGUUUCCUCUUUACUGAAGCUAUAAAGAGAGACAUCUUUUCUCAUCUUAAAACUUGGUCUCAGGAUUCGAUGAGAACCAGUAGCUUUGCAGGCCAUGAAUCUGUGAGCAGAUAGCUAAGAGUGUGAUGCCCAAGGGCUCUGUACACAAGUGCAGCGUUUUGUGAUCCGGGUCCAGCUAUGGGGGAUGGGGAAGAGGAAAAACCUGCCUGGGCGGGCUGCCAUCUGCCCGACACCCUGUGGAGGCUCUCAGGACUCAGGGAUGAACAUUCCUGUACACGGUAGCUGUGAAG